rnacentral:lncRNA from 1 species
AGGCGAAACGAAUAUCAUAAGUGAAAAUUGGCUUUAUGCCCAUAAUGUAUGGUACGAUGUAAUUUUCUUGGUUUGGUGAUUAUUGAUAUAUGGAAUCUGAAAAUGAUUCUGCACCAGAUAUAUAUACAGUGGAAAUUUGGACGAGAUAAUUUUGUGGGCGUUGGCAAAGAACAAUAUGUCAACAGAUUUGUCAGGAUCAUUACAUGCUAUAUACACAUGCAAAGUCGAUCGUGCUGAGAUCGUCAGUUACAUUUGUGGUAAAACUUACAUCAUCCGUUAGUCUUAAGCUUUGCAGAAUUCGUGGAACAAGUUGGUUGGUUAGACCAUCGACGAUGUUGGUGAACGUUAAAACGGACAUCAGAAUGGGCUUCGUAGGAUUGAAAAUCGGUCGAGCCAAAAUUAUGUAUGCGUAGUCCUCCAAUUCUAUUAUUCUAGGAGGGAUAUAUACAAAUGAGAAGGUUGCCUGUUCGCAGCUUUGACGGCCAAGAGAUGGUCUAGAUAAAUGGAGGGCCCAACAUUAGAUUUCGGAUGAUAGAAAUUAUAGAAAGGUCUAGGAAGGAAGGUGAGUCUUCUUC